CGUGCUUCCCGCUCUCUACCCACCACAGCACUGAUGAGAUGAACAACAGCCCCAACUUUGAGGAGAAGCAGCACUUCCUCACCAUCUUCAACCUCAUGCACAUCAGUGCUGAGAAGAGGAAAGACAAGGAGAAGCUGGGGGAGAUGCUCCAGGUCAUGAAGCAGAAGACCACACUGGCCCCUGUGGUGGUGAAGACCUCCCCAUGGGACAGCCCCAGCAGCCCCACCACUGCAUGAAUGGCAAGAGCAAACCCUGGGAGCCCUUCAUCGCUGAGGAGUUUGCCCAUCAGUUCCAUGAAUCUGUGCUGCAGUCCACCCAGAAGGUAUUGCAGAAGCACAAAGGUAAUGGCAGGGAUGUGGGAAGCUGGCUGGGUAUUCACCGGGGUGAUAUCCCUGUGGGGUGGGAGACCCCCCCUCAUCCCUCUCACUGGGGUUUGGCACUGCCGAGGGCACAAAAUCCACUGGGAAGCUUGUUGAUGGAGUAUCCCAGGAGCUCACUGAUGAAGCUAAGGAUAUAAGUUGGGAUCCCAGCAGGACAGUAUUCUUCCAGUACCUUAAGGGGGCCCACAAGAAAUCUGGAGAGGGACUUUUUACAAAGGCCUGUAGGGACAGGCCAAGGGGGAAUGGCUUUAACCUGACAGAGGGGAGACUGAGAUGAGCUCUUAGGCAGAAGCUCUUCCCUGUGAGGGUGGUGAGGCACUGGCACAGGGUUCCCAGAGAAGCUGUGGCUGCCCCAUCCCUGGCAGUGUUCAAAGCCAGGUUGGAUGGGGCUUGGAGUAACCUGCUCUAGUGGAAGGUGUCCCUGCCUAUGGCAGGGGGUUGGAACUAGAUGAGCUUUAAGGUCCCUUCCAAGCCAAACCAUUCCAUGGUUCUGUAAUACAGCUCCAUCCUGCACAAGCUCAUUCAUUUCAAUGAGCAAGGAAAACAAAGUUAUUCCAGUGCACAGGGGGCAAUGAAAACCCAUGGAAGAUGCUGCAGCCCCCCC